UUAGGAAUUUUGCGCAAUGGGGGAAACCCUGACGCAGCCACGCCGCGUGCGGGAUGAAGGCCUUCGGGUCGUAAACCGCUUUUGUCGAGGAAGACACCCGACGGUACUCGGCGAAUAAGCAACGGCUAACUACGUGCCAGCAGCCGCGGUAAUACGUAGGUUGCGAGCGUUGUCCGGAUUUACUGGGCGUAAAGCGCGCGCAGGCGGUCUUGAAAGUCGAAUGUGAAAGCUCCCGGCCCAACUGGGAGAGGCCGUUCGAAACUUCGAGACUUGAAGGCGGGAGAGGCAGAUGGAAUUUCCGGUGUAGCGGUAAAAUGCGUAGAUACCGGAAGGAACACCAGUGGCGAAAGCGAUCUGCUGGCCCGCCCUUGACGCUCAGGCGCGAAAGCUAGGGGAGCGACCGGGAUUAGAUACCCCGUUAGUCCUAGCCGUAAACAAUGGGCACUAGGUGUUGUCGGUAUCGACCCCGGCAGUGCCGAAGCUAACGCAUUAAGUGCCCCGCCUGGGGAGUACGACCGCAAGGUUA
rnacentral:rRNA from 1 species